GAUGAACGCUAGCGGCAGGCCUAACACAUGCAAGUCGAGGGGUAGAAGGCUUCGGCCUUUGAGACCGGCGCACGGGUGCGUAACGCGUAUGCAAUCUGCCUUACACUGGGGGAUAGCCCAGGGAAAUUUGGAUUAAUACCCCAUAGUAUUUUUGUCUGGCAUCAGGUGAUUAUUAAAGUUUUUCGGUGUAAGAUGAGCAUGCGUCCCAUUAGCUAGUUGGUAUGGUAACGGCAUACCAAGGCAAUGAUGGGUAGGGGUCCUGAGAGGGAGAUCCCCCACACUGGUACUGAGACACGGACCAGACUCCUACGGGAGGCAGCAGUGAGGAAUAUUGGUCAAUGGGCGAGAGCCUGAACCAGCCAUGCCGCGUGCAGGAUGAAGCAUCUAUGGUGUGUAAACUGCUUUUGUACGGGAAGAAACACCUCUACGUGUAGAGGCUUGACGGUACCGUAAGAAUAAGGAUCGGCUAACUCCGUGCCAGCCGCCGCGGUAA
rnacentral:rRNA from 1 species